UUUACAAAACCGAAGCGAAGGUCCUCCCCUUGCAUUGCCCAAAAAAUUGACAAGGAAACUCAAGCAACCGAUCUUCUACGCGGUGAUCAUCAUCAGUGCACUGAAAGAAGAGCCAAGAAACUUGUCCAGUCGACGGCGAUCGAUGAGUAAAGUAGCUUGCUGAGACACGGAAACGGGGGGAGGGGUUACGUGUGGUGGAUAAGUGACAAGACAGUAACCGGAAAGGAAUCAAACGGGGCACCGGGCAAUAGUUUACAUGGGGUCAGUCAGUGGAGGAGGAGGGGGGGUCAGGUGCGUCAAACUUUGCUGCUGCCCCGAUCACACGCCACCACCCAAACAAAACUCGCCAAUAUAUCGAUGAUGCGUGGAAAUUGAUCCGUGCGUUCUUUAUAAGCAAAUCCGUUAUCAUCCGGUGAUAUUCCGGUCUGCAUGUGUACAGUGCCUGUGGGACGUACAGGCAUGUACUGAUGUCGUCGAUUCAUCCUAGUCCUCAGAGUACUAGAAGGGACGAUUGCUGAUUGGUGCUCGCAUCAAGGAGUUCGGUGACAGUGUAUGGUAAUUGAUCUAGUGGUUUGGAAUGGCACUUGUUUCGGUGGCCCUGUUUUUGGUGGUGGCAUCAGUGUUUGUUGGCGUUUUUCGUGGCACUGUUGAGCAGACUUUGGCUACGGCGAUGGUUUUUGAAUUUGGUCCUCUGAAGUGUCAGCUGGCUCUCUGUGGUUGGUUUUUGUUUCGUCACUGGGAAGUCGGAGACCGAGUGGCCUGGUCCAUAGAGUUCUUGUUUUGCGUGGAGCCUUGCAUGCAUAUUGCCCCUAUGAAGCCGACGAUGGUGGCUGAAUUUUUGGCAUUAUCAACACGAGCUUGCGCACCUGUCGAGGCAUAUGGACUACGCUGAUGGUUGUCUGUGAUGUCGUGGUCAUCAACUUAGGAGGAGUGUUUAUACCUCAACAUCUUUCUUCUUUCGACAACGUGCGUGGAGAGUGUCUUUGGGUGGCCAUGUUGGCCAGUGGCUGUCUUUGGUGUGGUCAUGUUUCAUGUGGUUUUUCUCACUUUCCUGCAAAUUACAACAACUGUCUUAUCCUUUA